rnacentral:rRNA from 1 species
UACAGAGGUCCCAAGCGUUGUUCGGAUUCAUUGGGCGUAAAGGGUGCGUAGGUGGCGUCGUAAGUCGGGUGUGAAAUCUCGGGGCUUAACUCCGAAACUGCAUUCGAUACUGCGGUGCUUGAGGACUGGAGAGGAGACUGGAAUUUACGGUGUAGCAGUGAAAUGCGUAGAGAUCGUAAGGAAGACCAGUGGCGAAGGCGAGUUUCUGGACGGUAACUGACGCUGAGGCACGAAGGCCAGGGGAGCAAACGGG